ACGAAGAAAAUAAUUAAAAUUUACAUAUAUAUACCGACCGAAUCAAGCUACACUGCCCGCGGGAAUAUGAAUACUGAGUACAUUCCGCUUCUUAACGUUUUUUGUUAGAAAUCGAUCUAUAGGCAGUGGCGGAGCCAUAUGGUGGAGAGGGGGGUCAGUUGACCCACAUGACUUCUACAAAUAAAUGAGUUUAGCUUAUGUAUAAUUGAUUUUGGCUGGAACAUUUGGUUGAAAUCCAUUAGUUUGACCCCCAUGACACUAGUUCGAACAUGUACUUUGACCCAUCUUAAUUUUUUUUUAGUAGUAUUAUAUAAUUAUUUUAAUAAAUGACCCCUACGAGAGAUGAUGCUGGCUCCGCCACUGUCUAUAGGUGAGUAACCAAAAUCUUGAAAGUAAUUAAAGGGCAUCUAAACCAAACUUGGUGACUUGGAGAGGUGUGUUAAGAAACUCCUAUUUAUUGACGAGUGUUUAUAUACCUUAAAAACGAUUGAAUGGUCAUGGUGAGAUAAGUGAGGCUAAUUAUACUCUUAUUUCAACCCGAUUUGAGUGAAUUAUAAAAAUAUUUAUUUUUCUUCUCUUCUGAUACCUACUUGAUCCUCUGAUCUCUCUCUCCUUUCACUUUUGGCGAAUUAUCUUCGUUCGUUCUCUAUGAGUUUUGGGGGUGGUCGCACUUAGGGGAAUUGUGGAACCCUUUCCGUUCUAGACUUGGGAAACUUUUGGUAAUCUUGUCGCAGAGCCUUUUAACCAUAUUAGGUUUAUAGGGUUUCUUUUACGGAUUUGAUGAUCCCACAUUAGGCUCCUUUAGCAAUUCCUCUCUUGGAUUGAUGUACGUAAAAUUGAUUAUUACAUAUAAAUAUUGUUAAUAAGAUGAGAAGUUAAUUUUUGUUUUUUUAUAUAUGUAUAAUUUUUUUUUUUAAGAUAGUUCAAGUGUUAUACACUUUUAUCCUUAAAAAUGAUUGGACGCUUUUGGAAAAAAAAAGUUAUUGUUUUCUUAAAAAUAUUUUUAAUCGCCAAAUGCACAGAACUAACAGUACGUGGGAUUCAUGGAACAAGACGAUGAUGAUUGUCGUAUCAUGAAG
rnacentral:lncRNA from 1 species